rnacentral:lncRNA from 1 species
AUUACGAAAACGGGUCGGAUCAUUAACGGAUCGAAUCGACCUAAAUCCAAAUCCGAUCCGUUUAUUAAACGGGUUAACGGAUUCGGAUCAUUAACGGAUCAACGGAUCAAAAUGUUCGAUCCAAACCCGUCCAAUAGUCACGGAUCUGGAGCGGGUCUGGAUCAAAAUCCGGUCCAUUUACAGGUCUACUUGCCGACCGGAUCUGGAACCUCCAAGAAGCCGCCCAACAUCCCCUCGUCAGUCUGGUGGCCUCCCCAAGCAGGGGGCCAUAGCAACCAUCACACCGCCUACCAAAACUGCUCGCUGCAACUAUCUGGCCCUGCAAACAUGAACCAAAGCCUUAGUGGACGUCUCCUCCUCGCCUGAAGGACGUCUCCGGCCACGCUCCUCCUCUAGACCUCGAAGCCUGUAGCUGCCUUCUCCUCGUCGAGCCUGAGAGUCGCCCCAGAACAAAACCAGGUGCGUGUACAAACCCGAAGCAAUCUGAACCUUCGGCUUUCUCCUCCGUCAAACCACCUCCGCAACCCACGGAGGAGGUGAAGCCUCGUCUUUCUUCCACUGGCAGCGCCGGAGCGCCCUGCUGCAGACGGAAUUGGAGCGUCGCCGCUUGCUACGCGAAGUUUCGAUUUCGCUCCGGAGAAACAGGAGCUACUGGAGGAUUGGUACUCUUAACAUCACUACCUUAGAUUUCGUC